AUUUCUAGAAAUGGCCCUUUUACUGUUAUCAGGAAGAAUCCUGAAUAAAGAGACAAAAGGCCUGGCUUUAAUUCUGACCUUCCCCACUGUGCGACCUCCCUUGGCCUUCCAGAUGAAUUAUCCAAGAUGACCCCUCUAGUACUAAACCUGAACCUCUCAGCAAAAGACACUCUCUCGUCAGACAAAGACUGGUGCCCACAGAAGAGCAAUAAGAAGCUGGAUCCAGACAGAGACGGGCCCAGCGUGUUCCAUGACCAGAUCUGCAGAGCAGAGAGGGGCUCCUGAGAAGGCGUGGUCUUCUGCUGAACAGUCAUCCUGUGCUUGCUUUUUGUUGUUCUCUGUGUUUCUUUUUAAGUCAUAGGUCAGUGAUUUCCCCACAUCCUGCCCUGGGGACAGAUAGAGGAAGAUGUGAUUCACAGAAACAGCUGGUUGGGGACCCCGAUGCCUGGAGACAGAUUGGUCUGGGAGCAAGGAUGUGGGUGAACUGAGGUGCCACUUUGGGUCUGCAAACCCCUGGGACACUGGGGCUAGGGAAACAGGAGGCAGCACAUGCAAACUGCUGAGAGAAGAUCUAACUUGAGUUUACCUCUCCCUGGAUGACUCUUCCCAAGAGGAAGUAAGCAGUUAGGAGGAGGACUGAGCGUAAUGGUUGCCACCGAGACUUAGUGUACUCCAGAGCGAGGCCAGAGGUCACAGAACUUCAGGAGAGGAAAGGUCUGAUGGGGACAUAAAUCCCAGUCCUGUUGCUCACUAGCUCCGUGGCCUUAGCAAAUCUCUUUUAGAACCUUCCCUUCCACAUUUGUAAAACCUUUUUCCUCACCUAACCUGCCUCAUGGAAUUGUCAUCAAAGGGGGAUUACAGGAAGCCAAGCAGCACACAGCAAGGACCCCUUCCCAGCAUGCAUCUGAGAUUAUCUGCAAAUCAGACAGGAGGUUUAUCUUGCCUCUGAGCAUUCAAUGAGGAGUUUGCUCUUGUGAGGUUCCCAAGAGAAUAAACUCAAGCCAUCCAGAGUCCCAGAGACACGUUCUGGACCAUUGAUCUUCUGGACUGCAUUUGCUGGAAACUUUUUGCUACAAAUAGAGCUACCUGAGAGUGUGCCAAAUCAUGGAACCCAGCCCAGAUUCCGGGAACUCCAGGAAAAUAGAUCCAUUGGACGGAUAAACAGGGUUGGAGACGGUCCUACAGCUCCUGGGCUCUGGUCUCCAUCCCGCUGCUGACUGGUUGGGUAAUUUGGAAGACCACUUUCACCUCUCCAGGCUUCCUUUUCUAUGUGCAAAGUGACCAGAAGGCUUCCGCUUCUGGUGUCCCAUUGUCCUGGGAUAAUCCUCUGUUCAGUUCUCAUUCUCUGCAUGAUGAGCACAUCAUCCUUAGAAGGAGUCAGUCCACGGCCAGGUAAGGUGAGGGCGUACCUGCCUAAGCUCUGCACGGCGUCCUAGUGGGGAAAUAAAGUCACUGAGAACCCGCCACAGGGUAGCUGGGAGGACAGAGGUCCACGGAUAACUCCAUGUGAACUCACAAGAGGACCCUCAACAAUAAAAAUGGGAGAGACACAUGGUGGCAUGGUGGGCAAGGGAGGUCACUAAGCUUCA